GCGCUUUGACUGAAGUCUGACUUCACAAGGAAGUACGUCUAUCCUCUCCAUUGUCGAAUAUUGUCAUAGCGACGCUAGGGUGAAUUCGAGGACGCUGAAAUGUUAUGGCUGUGCAUGUUUGGUAAGUCUUUCGAAGCACAAAAUUAAUUUCAAACGCCGUUAUGUAGCUACAAUAAGGCAUUUUUUUCAACGGAUCUUUGCGAAAAAGUGCAUUUAGGCAGAAUAUGUUGUAAGGCUAGUAAAAAUUGUCUACCUCCGACGGGACUCGA
rnacentral:lncRNA from 1 species